CAAAUGACAAAAAUGUAUAUAUGAAAUCGAAAAUUCUCUAAAAACGAGAAAUUGAUUUUCUUGGUAAUUUUGAUAACACGUUAUUCUUUUUUUCAUGUCAAAAAGGUCUGAUUAUGAACUAGUCAGGAACUCAAAUCCGUAAAGGUAAGGCAUUGAUAAUCCAAGUCUUUUGAAUAGAAAGAAGCGAAAGAACAUAGGUGAUUUUGGUAAAACGAUGCUUGAAAGUCGUGGUCAUAGGAUGAAUGGAACCUGAAGUAGAAGAAGAAUGUUGUGCAAGAGAAUACUGUCGACCAAGAAAGAUCAAAAUGUGCCCUAUCAAUAAAGUGAGGACUUUUCAGAAUUUGUCCACUUCCUUCCAACACUAGAUUCUUCAAUAAUAGUGGGAAAAAACCCUUCCAAUCAACUCAAAUACAUUAAGCCCUUGGCUGUAAGAAAUAUUGAAAUUACUUUUAUCUCACACUCAAUUUUAACUACACAUUCUUAAAAUAAAUAAAUAAAUAAUAAUAAAUCAUUUUUCCAUUUCUCCAUACUUUCAACCACACAUCUAUAAUACAUUGAAUAUCAUAUCAAGUGAGAAUAAUUUUUUUGGACGAUUUCAACCCUACUACAAUUCAAUUAUUUCACUAAUACCCUAUUUUUCGUUUUUGAAUUCGUAAUAAAUACUAGAGAAUCCUUAUCGUGUAUGAAUUUCGUGUUAUUAAUUUUUAAUUAAUUAACAAUCACAUCAUUCUAGACUCAAUAAAUCUUGACUUGAUGAAUAUUAAUCUCCAUGAAUAUAGAGUUAUUAUAGAUGCAGAAAUCUUCGAGAAAUCUUGAUUUGGGCUCAGUUUAAUCAAUCGAACGAACACCAAUCGAGGAGGCUUGACUCACAACUUUACCCACUUGGUUGCCAAAAGUUUAUUCACCCACUAAGGCUACACUUUGCGGUGGUGAUUUGCAAGCCACAAAGGUGAGAAAAUGAAAGGAAGAAUAGGCACAAAAUGGUUGAAUACAAAUGGUAGCCACCGAUUUUUGCUUCAAGCACAAAGCACGCAUUUUUCUCUCAUUUGCACAAUCACACACACUCAACGAUUGGAAAGAGAUGUAUAUAUAUAGCUAGUUAGGUCACUCCAAUUGGCCAAAGUUCGCUAAAUGGGAUGCCAGUUUAAUCAACCAAAUGAACACCAAUCGAGGAGGCUGGACCCACAACUUUACCCACUUGGUUGCCAAAAGUUUACUCACCCACUAAGGCUACACUUUGUGGUGGUGAUUUGCAAGCCGCAAAGGUGAGAAAAAGAAAGGAAGAAUAGGCACAAAAUGGAUGAAUACAAAUGGCAGCCACCGAUCUUUGCUUCAAGCACAAAGUACACAUUUUUCUCUCAUUUGCACAAUCACAC
rnacentral:lncRNA from 1 species